rnacentral:rRNA from 1 species
GAUGAACGCUGGCGGCGUGCCUAAUACAUGCAAGUCGAGCGAACAGAUGAGGAGCUUGCUCCUCUGACGUUAGCGGCGGACGGGUGAGUAACACGUGGAUAACCUACCUAUAAGACUGGGAUAACUUCGGGAAACCGGAGCUAAUACCGGAUAAUAUAUUGAACCGCAUGGUUCAAUAGUGAAAGACGGUUUUGCUGUCACUUAUAGAUGGAUCCGCGCCGCAUUAGCUAGUUGGUAAGGUAACGGCUUACCAAGGCAACGAUACGUAGCCGACCAGAGAGGGUGAUCGGCCACACUGGAACUGAGACACGGUCCAGACUCCUACGGGAGGCAGCAGUAGGGAAUCUUCCGCAAUGGGCGAAAGCCUGACGGAGCAACGCCGCGUGAGUGAUGAAGGUCUUCGGAUCGUAAAACUCUGUUAUUAGGGAAGAACAAAUGUGUAAGUAACUAUGCACGUCUUGACGGUACCUAAUCAGAAAGCCACGGCUAACUACGUG